rnacentral:lncRNA from 10 species
CCCCCACCGGGGGAACUUCUCCGCCGACUUUUGGGCUCUCGGGACGCAGGACCGCCCCAGCGGCGGCCUCGGCCCCGCGAGUUCUGCUGGGAGCGGGGAGGCCCUGGCGUCUCAGGUGUGAGUCACCCCUAAUGGAGGUGGGAGAACAGGAGGCGUGGUGGGAGGCCCCAUCCCAACAAAUCACAUCCAUGUUCACAAGGGCUCCUGCCAAGGGCCCAUCUUAGAACCUGGAGAUCAAUGUCCCACACGGCCUUCCCUUUGCUGCUCUAGAUGCAACUUCACCUCCCUGCGUUCCCCUGGCAAGUGGGGUCCGCUGCUUGGGCAGUCACUCCAGGUCUGUCCAUGCUGCAGAAGACAGCCACUGUGUGUCCCUCCUACAGAUGGACUGGAUGCUCACCAGCCCCUGCCAAUGGAGAGACACGAGGCCCUCAUGCAAACUGGCAGCCCUAGAGGAGAACCCACCAUACCUGUUGGACAGAAACAGUACCCAGAACCCUCAGUCUGCCUCUGCCUGACAUGGCCUUGGCUGCCUGGCCAACUGGCUUGUAGAAGAGGGAUAUUGGCCUGAGUCAAGGGGACAGAGUUGGAGGCAUUGCAUUGUCACCUAGCAGCAGUAUGUCUGGGCAACAUGUGUUACCUCUCUUCCCCUUCUCCUGCCGGCCAGAUAUCCCUCAGAUUCAUCCUGGAUCCGGUACUGUUCUUCUUCGAGUAUAUGGCCUGCUUCAAGAUAAUGUACACUGCACAUCAGCUAAAUAAUUAUAAAGCAGCUAGUGUCUCCCAAGACGGAGCCCCCGCAAUGUCAGUGAUUUUGACAGGCAGAGGUGACUGCCACAGAUCGGAGGAUCAUAUCCUCUCAAUACAGCCUCCAGGGAAGAAGCACAGGAGCAACUUUCCAUCUCUUGAAUGUCUUCUUCUCCCUGGGGAAGAAGCACCUAAAUCUCCAGUCCACUUCCUCUCAGGCCCCACCUACCAGAUCUGGGUCACAGGCCCACCCCCUGCUGCCAGGUAA